rnacentral:rRNA from 1 species
UGACGAGUUUGAUCCUGGCUCAGAUUGAACGCUGGCGGCAUGCUUUACACAUGCAAGUCGAACGGUAACAGGUUAAGCUGACGAGUGGCGAACGGGUGAGUAAUGCAUCGGAACGUGCCCAGUCGUGGGGGAUAACGCAGCGAAAGCUGUGCUAAUACCGCAUACGAUCUAUGGAUGAAAGCGGGGGACCGUAAGGCCUCGCGCGAUUGGAGCGGCCGAUGUCAGAUUAGCUAGUUGGUGGGGUAAAGGCCCACCAAGGCGACGAUCUGUAGCUGGUCUGAGAGGACGACCAGCCACACUGGAACUGAGACACGGUCCAGACUCCGUACGGGAGCAGCAGUUGGGGAAUUUUGGACAAUGGGGCGCAAGCCUGAUCUAGCCAUGCCGCGUGAUCGAUGAAGGUCC